UCAAGGCUUUUCUUCUUCUUUAGCAGAUUGCUUCAUUGAAACAAAGUGUUUACUUCCCGACAGAGAUUCAGAUGUUGGUGAUGCUUCUGGUGGAGCAAAUGAAGAACAAUCUCAUAAUCCUUCCAUUGCUGAAACAUUCCAAAUGGUACCUAAAGUUGCUCAUCGUGAGUUAAACAGCCAAGAAAGAGAAACUGCUGUCUCACGGUACAAGGAGAAAAAGAAAACAAGGAGGUAUAGACACUCGCUUUUUCAUUCUGUGUUUAGUCCUUUCAAAUUUCAAGUCUGUGGUGUAUCAGUGUAUAGGCCUCCUGUGAUGUUCAAGUCUAAAUAUUCUAAAUUUCUUAUUGCUAUCUUUUAAAUGUUUUGCAUAUUAGGUGUUAGCUUACUGGGUAAGGGUUAUUUGCACCUGAUAUGUUCUGUUUAAACUGUUAGAGUUCCGGUCCAACAAAUAGGCAAGACACUUUACAUACCUGAACGAUAUAAUUUGUUUGUGGUUGUUUGUUCUUGAUGUAACACUGUCGGCAUCUCUCAAUCAUCGAAUGGCUAUAGUUCCUUUCCAAAUUGUGGUACUAUAGUUCCAUCGGAGCCAUUCACUAUAUUAUAGGAUGGACGAUUUGGGGGCAUAGAAUGUUAUAUAUCUGAUCUUCAGAUAAUCAUAAUUACCAACUUAUCCUCAGAGAACAAGUAAUGAAGAAGAAAAGUGGCAAUCUGAAAAGGAGCAGAAAGUUAUCGAAAAAGACUACUAAGCUUGUUUGGCACUUUGAAAUUAAUUGUGAAUAGAUGUUUAUAAAUCCUGUGUUCAACAAGUUCCUGAUGAUGUCAAUAAUGUCCUAUAUAGCUCCAUAUUUAGUGCUACAUUGACUAGAUUCUGUGACAUUGCUUUCAUUCCACAAGACAUGUACUACACUCAAAUUAUCUUUUUAGAGCACAUCCAAGCGCGCUUUCUUUAUGACAAUGUAAAACUCAAUCUUGCAUCCAAAGUAUGAUUUAUCUACGAUCCUGUUGUUCAAAAAGUCAAAAUAGGAGAUGCUUUAUGAUGGGCUCUUAAGACAUUAUGGACCAGUUAUUGUUCAUUCUGUCUUGAUUGGUGUUGUCUUUUUAUUAACUAUCAUGUUUCUUGACUGAGAUGUUUUCAUCAAGAUAUGAGAAGCAUAUUAGGUACGUGUCAAGGAAGGUUCGGGCAGAAAGUAGGACAAGAAUCAAGGGGCGUUUUGCCAAGAUGGACAUGCAUCAGUAAUGUCAAACCUUCUUUUUCCAAAUAAGGUUGCGGAAGCAAACAAUCCAGGACAUUUUGCCGGUUCAUUUGGUCUGCCGUAAUGAAGGUUUUGUUAGUUUGUGUCAUGUGCAUUGUUCAAAUCUUUUAUCAGCUCUCCGCAUCUAUAGAGGCAAUAGGGAAUCCUUUCUUUCAGCAUGUACCUAUAAUAAUUUGUAAAGAUAAAAGUUGAUAAAUCAUGUAGCUGUGCUAAGAGAAGAAAGAGAAAAGAGUGAGAUUUAGUAUAGAUGUUUUAUCUAUAGCUUGCUGUGGUAUGUAGGCUUUUGCUGUUCAGCUCAUAACUCAUUGAAGUAUCUAAUCAAAUUAGUCCACUUCUGCA
rnacentral:lncRNA from 1 species